UACGUAGGGUCCGAGCGUUGUCCGGAAUUAUUGGGCGUAAAGAGCUCGUAGGCGGUCCGUUAAGUCGGAAGUGAAUCUCAAGGCUCAACCUUGAAAUCGCUUUCGAUACUGGCGGACUUGAGGCAGGUAGGGGAAGGUGGAAUUCCUGGUGUAGCGGUGAAAUGCGCAGAUAUCAGGAGGAACACCGGUGGCGAAGGCGGCCUUCUGGGCCUGUUCUGACGCUGAGGAGCGAAAGCGUGGGGAGCAAACAGG
rnacentral:rRNA from 1 species